rnacentral:rRNA from 1 species
GAAAUGCGAUAAGUAAUGUGAAUUGCAGAAUUCAGUGAAUCAUCGAAUCUUUGAACGCAUCUUGCGCUCCUUGGUAUUCCGAGGAGCAUGCCUGUUUGAGUGUCAUUAAAUUCUCUCAAAACRUGCACUUGAGUGAUUGUGUGUUUUGGAUUGUUGGGAGUCUGCUGGUUUUGGGCCAGCUCUCCUUAAAAACAUUAGCUUUGGGAGRGAUGUGCUGAGUCACUUCUGCCAUUCCAUUGGUGUGAUAGAUUAACGUUUAUAUCUACACCAGGUUUGCAGGUGUCACGCAUUUUUAAUCUCUCUGCUCUCUAAUYGAGACCCCUUUGUCUCUUCUGAAAACUUGACCUCAAAUCAGGUAGGACUACCCGCUGAACUUAA